GACGAACGCUGGCGGCGCGCUUAACACAUGCAAGUCGAACGGAAAGGCCUGCUUUUCCUUGUGGAUUGCGGGUACUCGCGUGGCGAACGGGUGAGUAUCACGUGAGUGAUCUGCCCCCAACUUGGGUAUAAGCCUGGGCAACUGGGUCUAAUUCCCGACAGGACUGCAGGGUGGUGUCUGUGGUGGAAAACGAUGUUCUAGUGGUUGGGGAUGAGCUCGCGGCCUAUCAGCUUGUUGGUGUGGUAAUGGCCUACCAAGGCGGGGACGGGUAGCCGGCCUGGGGUGGUGGACGGCAACAGUGGGACUGAGAUACGGCCCAGACGCCUACGGGAGGCAGCAGGGGGGAGUAAGGCACGAGGGGCGGAGGCCUGAUGCAGGGACGCCGCGGGGGGGAUGACGGCCUUCGGGUUGUAAACUCCGUUCGACCGCGAGGAAGCCACCUGGAUGGAAGGGGAGUGACGGUAGUGGUAGAAGAAGCACCGGCUAACUACGUG
rnacentral:rRNA from 1 species